rnacentral:rRNA from 1 species
UACAGAGGGUGCUAGCGUUAAUCGGAUUUACUGGGCGUAAAGCGUGUGUAGGCGGUUUGUUAAGUCGGGUGUGAAAUCCCUGGGCUCAACCUGGGAAUUGCAUUCGAUACUGGCAAGCUAGAGUACGGUAGAGGGCGGCGGAAUUCCGGGUGUAGCGGUGAAAUGUGUAGAGAUCGGGAGGAACACCGGUGGCGAAGGCGGGUCUCUGGGCAAUUCCUGACGCUGAGGCGCGAAAGCGUGGGGAGCAAACGGG